rnacentral:rRNA from 1 species
UACGGGGGGGGCAAGCGUUGUUCGGAAUUACUGGGCGUAAAGGGCUCGUAGGUGGCCAACUAAGUCAGACGUGAAAUCCCUCAGCUUAACUGGGGAACUGCGUCUGAUACUGGAUGGCUUGAGUUUGGGAGAGGGAUGCGGAAUUCCAGGUGUAGCGGUGAAAUGCGUAGAUAUCUGGAGGAACACCGGUGGCGAAGGCGGCAUCCUGGACCAACACUGACACUGAUGAGCGAAAGCCAGGGAGCAACGGG